rnacentral:misc_RNA from 1 species
GUGAAUCAUCGAAUUUUUGAACGCAAAUUGCACUCCCUGGUAUUCCGGGGAGUAUGCCUGUUUGAGGGUCGUUAGAAUAAAAAAUCGAUGCGUCGCUCUUGUUGUUAGUGUUGAUCGCGUCGGAAUUGAGGCGUCUUUCAAAUGGUAAUUCAGGGCAAAGUGGCUUGAAAUUCGUCCAUCCGGUACGAUUGAAUCGUAUUGAAGAUCAAUUUUGAUUGAUAACUCGCGAUUACGUACCAUCUCAGGUAGGACU